UGAAGUUGCCACCCUGAACGUGCCCGAUCCCAUCUAAUCUCGGAAGCUAAGCAAGGUCAGGCCUGGGUGGUACUUGGAUGGAAGACCACCUAGGAAGACCAGGUGCAGUAG
rnacentral:rRNA from 1 species